GACGUAGGGCGCGAGCGUUGUCCGGAUUUAUUGGGCGUAAAGAGCUCGUAGGCGGCUUGUCGCGUCGUCCGUGAAAACCUGCAGCUCAACUGCAGGCUUGCGGUCGAUACGGGCAGGCUAGAGUUCGGUAGGGGAGACUGGAAUUCCUGGUGUAGCGGUGAAAUGCGCAGAUAUCAGGAGGAACACCGGUGGCGAAGGCGGGUCUCUGGGCCGAUAUUGACGCUGGAGGAGCGAAAAGCGUGGGGGAGCGAACAGG
rnacentral:rRNA from 1 species